CACCGCCCGCCAGCGCCGGGCCCCCUCCCCUCGCGGUGGGCUCGUCACCGCCGCAGAGUCUGCUCCUGAAUCCCGGCCCGGCCCGGGUGAGAACGAGGGCUGGGCCUGGGGCCCCGAGAAAGGCCACGCGGGCUGGGCGCCGCGGGGCAGCCCCCGCCCGACCCGCCCUCCCUGGCUCCCAUCUGCGACGGCGGGCGGACCAACAGGUAACGCGGGGACUUGUCUGGGACGUUGCUGGAGAGAUGCGGGCAGGCGUCCGGUGAGCCGCCCGCCCCGUCGGAAAGCGCACUAGCUGGAGUCCGCAGCAGCCCUUGGGGGCGGGAAGCGCGAGGCGCAGCGUGACCCGCCCAGGAGACGCGCGAGCUGAGGGUGCUGCGCGCCCUUUACCCACGCCCGUGGGAUCCUCGCCAAUACCUUACAGAAGAGACGAACUCUGAGGCCGCGAUCCUCCGGACGCACAGCUGGAGUGUCAGGGAUGGAGCUCUUGCUGCGACCAUGAGCCAGACGGAAGCUUGGGGAGUAUUUGGAGGAUGAGGAUGGUGAUGACGCUGUCUGAACUGCCUGAACCUUUAUGGCAGCAUCAGCAGAACAGACAGAAUCCCCUGUUUUUAUAGAAGAGACAGAGGUAUGGACGGUUCCAUAACUCUCUGUGCAGGUGGGAGCCAGUUAUAUCCCUGCCCACCACUGGACCUUCACUCCUCAUACACUUCCAGCCCAGUGCCCCUCAUCACCUCGUGGAAAACCACACCAAAAGGUCAGAAGAAGCUUGAAAACAAAGACACACCCAUAGCUUCAGCCCACGAGAAAACCUCGGCACAUGCUGGUCAGAAGCUGAAGAACAGAGGAAGACAAGUGCUGUAUGAUCUCACUUAUAUGUGGAAUCUAAACUAAAAACAAAGACAAACUUACAGAAAAAGCGAUCAGAUUUACCAGAGGAGGGUGAGGAGGUGGAAUGGGUGGAAGGUGGUGAAAAGGUACAAGCUUCCACGUAUAAGAUAAAGAAGUACUAGGGAUGUCAUGUACAAUGUGAUAAGUAUAAUUAACACACUGUGUGUCAUAUGUGAAAGUCAUUAAGGGAGUAGGUCUUGAGUUCUCAUCACAAGGAAAUAUCUUUUUUUCUCUUUUUGCUUUUUUAUUGUAUUCAAGGAGAUGGUGGGUGCUAGCUGAACUUACUGCAGUCAUCAUUUCACCAAACCUGUGAGUCAAACCCUGUUGUACACUGUACACUUGCACAGCACUGUGUGUUAGUUGUAUCUCAAUAAAACUAGAGAAGAAAGAAA